GCACUGUUGAGAAGUCCCAGAUUAGGACGAAACGGCCGUCCAGUGC
rnacentral:hammerhead_ribozyme from 1 species